rnacentral:rRNA from 1 species
AGUCGAGCGAAUGGAUUAAGAGCUUGCUCUUAUGAAGUUAGCGGCGGACGGGUGAGUAACACGUGGGUAACCUGCCCAUAAGACUGGGAUAACUCCGGGAAACCGGGGCUAAUACCGGAUAAYAUUUUGAACUGCAUGGUUCGAAAUUGAAAGGCGGCUUCGGCUGUCACUUAUGGAUGGACCCGCGUCGCAUUAGCUAGUUGGUGAGGUAACGGCUCACCAAGGCAACGAUGCGUAGCCGACCUGAGAGGGUGAUCGGCCACACUGGGACUGAGACACGGCCCAGACUCCUACGGGAGGCAGCAGUAGGGAAUCUUCCGCAAUGGACGAAAGUCUGACGGAGCAACGCCGCGUGAGUGAUGAAGGCUUUCGGGUCGUAAAACUCUGUUGUUAGGGAAGAACAAGUGCUAGUUGAAUAAGCUGGCACCUUGACGGUACCUAACCAGAAAGCCACGGCUAACUACGUGCCAGCAGCCGCGGUAAUACGUAGGUGGCAAGCGUUAUCCGGAAUUAUUGGGCGUAAAGCGCGCGCAGGUGGUUUCUUAAGUCUGAUGUGAAAGCCCACGGCUCAACCGUGGAGGGUCAUUGGAAACUGGGAGACUUGAGUGCAGAAGAGGAAAGUGGAAUUCCAUGUGUAGCGGUGAAAUGCGUANAA